GAUACAAGUAAACACAUCUACUGAAGGGUGUUGGAAGGAUAUGCACUUACUGAUGAGUGCUAAACAGGCUUGGGUCAGGCUCGUGACGUUAAACAAGCGCUACCUGGGAAGCAACCCAGUUGAUUAUAUUUGUUUUUAACUCUGUGAUAAGUGCAUUGCAUGUUUGAAUGUUGCAUUUGAGAGGGGAAAGGCAUGUGAUUGAAAAAUUGAAGGUCGAAAUUAAGUGCUACAAGGUUAGACUACUUAAAAGCAAGUAAAGAAGAGAGGAAGCAAAAUCACCGCAAACCGCUGAGCGGUUCAUUUGACCGCUGAGCGGUUGCGGUGGAAACUUGGCUCGGGUUUCUUUAAGAGCUGAGCGGUUUUUAGGUUUUUCACUUUGAAACCUCUUCUUUCCAAGUCGACCAAGCGGUCUCCCUAAGCCCUAACACUUUUCUUUCACUUUCAAAGGUUUUCUAAAGAGAUUUCCCCACUUUCUCAUCACCCACUCACCAAAAUCUCACUUUUCUACCAUUGUCUUGUC
rnacentral:lncRNA from 1 species